GCUAUCAUGGCUGAGUGGUUAUAAUGCUUGCAUUCAUUUGUUCACAUGAUCAUAUAGUGAUGCAGGGUUCAAACCCCAGUGAGGGCA